rnacentral:rRNA from 1 species
UACGUAGGCGGCCCAUUAAGUCAGAUGUGAAAGCCCGGAGCUCAACUCCGGGAUUGCAUUUGAAACUGGUGGGCUAGAGUACAGGAGAGGAAAGUGGAAUUCCUAGUGUAGCGGUGAAAUGCGUAGAUAUUAGGAAGAACACCAGUGGCGAAGGCGGCUUUCUGGACUGUAACUGACGCUGGGGUACGAAAGCGUGGGGAGCGAACA